UGGGGUAUCGCCAAGCCGGUAAGGCACCAGACUUUGACUCUGGCAUUCGUUGGUUCGAGCCCAGUUACCCCAGCCA
rnacentral:tRNA from 1 species